rnacentral:rRNA from 1 species
GUGGGGAAUAUUCCGCAAUGGACGAAAGUCUGACGGAGCAACGCCGCGUGAGUGAUGAAGGUUUUCGGACUGUAAAGCUCUGUUGUUUAGGACGAAAGUGCCUGUUGCAAAUAGUUACAGGUAUUGACGGUACUGAACGAGGAAGCCACGGCUAACUACGUGCCAGCAGCCGCGGUAAUACGUAGGUGGCAAGCGUUGUCCGGAAUUAUUGGGCGUAAAGAGCAUGUAGGCGGGAAUCUAAGUCUGUUGUGAAAAUGCGGGGCUCAACCCCGUAUUGCGAUGGAAACUGGGUUUCUUGAGUGCAGGAGAGGAAAGGGGAAUUCCCAGUGUAGCGGUGAAAUGCGUAGAUAUUGGGAGGAACACCAGUGGCGAAGGCGCCUUUCUGGACUGUGUCUGACGCUGAGAUGCUAAAGCCAGGGUAGCGAACGGGAUUAGAUACCCCAGUAGUCC